rnacentral:rRNA from 1 species
ACUUUUGAGAGUUUGAUCCUGGCUCAGAACGAACGCUGGCGGCGUGCUUAACACAUGCAAGUCGAACGGGGUAUAAGGAGUAGCAAUACGAAUUAUACUUAGUGGCGGACGGGUGAGUAACACGUAGGUAACCUACCCUCGAGCGGGGGACAACUCAGGGAAACUUGGGCUAAUACCGCAUAAGACCACGGACUGGGAUGUCUGUGGUAAAAGGAGCAAUUCACUUGGGGAUGGGCCUGCGGCCUAUCAGGUAGUUGGUGGGGUAAAGGCCUACCAAGCCAGAGACGGGUAGCCGGUCUGAGAGGACGAACGGCCACACUGGAACUGAGAGACGGUCCAGACUCCUACGGGAGGCAGCAGUGGGGAAUUUUGCACAAUGGGCGAAAGCCUGAUGCAGCGACGCCGCGUGGAGGACGAAGGCCUUCGGGUCGUAAACUCCUUUUGUAGGGGAAAAUGAUGAUGGUACCCUAUGAAUAAGCCACGGCUAACUCUGUGCCAGCAGCCGCGGUAAGACAGAGGUGGCAAGCGUUGUUCGGAAUUACUGGGCUUAAAGGGCGCGUAGGCGGUGGUAUAAGUCUGAGGUGGAAUCCUAAAGCUUAACUAUAGGACUGCCUUGGAAACUGUAUUACUUGAGUCGGACAGGGGAAGGCGGAAUUCCUGGUGUAGCGGUGAAAUGCGUAGAUAUCAGGAGGAAGGCCUGUGGUGAAGACGGCCUUCUGGGUCUUGACUGACGCUGAGGCGCGAAAGCGUGGGUAGCAAACAGGAUUAGAUACCCUGGUA